rnacentral:rRNA from 1 species
UACAGAGGCGGCAAGCGUUGUUCGGAUUUACUGGGCGUAAAGGGUGCGUAGGCGGUUCCGUGUGUCGGAUGUGAAAGCCCACAGCUCAACUGUGGAACUGCAUUCGAAACUAUGGUGCUAGAGUACAGGAGAGGAGAGCGGAAUUCUUGGUGUAGCAGUGAAAUGCGUAGAUAUCAAGAAGAACACCGGUGGCGAAGGCGGCUCUCUGGACUGAUACUGACGCUGAGGCACGAAAGCUGGGGGAG